rnacentral:misc_RNA from 1 species
GCGGACAAACGCAGGCGUGCAUUGGGGUUCCUCCUGCAACCGCAGCAAACUGAAACGGGAGAUUCUAGUGCUAGGUGAGGCUUGGAGUUGAGGAACAUCAAUAGAUUACUGUUUAUACUCGGAGCCACUGUUGCCUUAGCAUUUAUUUCCAUUUCAGUGGCUUUCUUUCUUCUGAGUUCUAACUGAUGGUUAUGUUCAUUUGAUAGAGUAAAAAGCUUGAUUCACAACAGAUGAUUUGAAGUAGCCUCCGACUGCGGCAAUAGUUUUUCUGAGCAAGAGC